GUUCAAACCUACCUAUACCUAUAUAUAAUAUCAUAUUAGUAUUUUAACGGUGUCGGUGAUCCAGAACCGAGAGUACGAAAAGUUUAUGAAACAUAUUAUUAUCACGUUACGUUCACCACACGCGUUUUAAUGUAUACGUUGACAGUUGAGAAGAAAAAAACGAAAAAAAAACUUUCCUACCAAAUAUAAAGGGUAUAGUGUAUACACACCGUCGACGACGAGACAAUAUGUUUA